AUACGUAGGUGACAAGCGUUAUCCGGAUUUACUGGGCGUAAAGGGCGUGUAGGCGGUCUUGCAAGUCAGAAGUGAAAUUCCUGAGCUACAAUAGGGCGCUGCUUCUGAAACUGCAGGACUUGAGUGCUGGAGGGGAUAGCGGAUUUCCUUGUGUAGCGGUGAAAUGCGUAGAUAUAAGGAAGAACACCAGUGGCGAAGGCGGUCUACUGGACAGUAACUGACGCUGAGGCGCGAAAGCGUGGGGAGCAAACAGGAUUAGAUACCCUGGUAGUCCACGCUGUAAACGAUGAAUACUAGGUGUGGGGGGACUGACCCCCUCCGUGCCGCAGUUAACACAAUAAGUAUUUCACCUGGGGAGUACGGCCGCAAGGUUGAAACUCAAAUGAAUUGGCGGGG
rnacentral:rRNA from 1 species